rnacentral:rRNA from 1 species
CNCUGGCGGCGUGCUUAACACAUGCNAGUCGAACGGGAUCCNUCGGGCUUUGCUUGGUGGUGAGAGUGGCGAACGGGUGAGUAAUGCGUGACCGACCUGCCCCAUGCACCGGAAUAGCUCCUGGAAACGGGUGGUAAUGCCGGAUGCUCCAUCACACUGCAUGGUGUGUUGGGAAAGCCUUUGCGGCAUGGGAUGGGGUCGCGUCCUAUCAGCUUGAUGNCGGGGUAACGGCCCACCAUGGCUUCGACGGGUAGCCGGCCUGAGAGGGCGACCGGCCACAUUGGGACUGAGAUACGGCCCAGACUCCUACGGGAGGCAGCAGUGGGGAAUAUUGCACAAUGGGCGCAAGCCUGAUGCAGCGACGCCGCGUGAGGGAUGGAGGCCUUCGGGUUGUAAACCUCUUUUGUUAGGGAGCAAGGCAUUUUGUGUUGAGUGUACCUUUCGAAUAAGCACCGGCUAACUACGUGCCAGCAGCCGCGG